rnacentral:rRNA from 1 species
AGUAUGUUGGUUAAUUCGAUGCAACGCGAAGAACCUUACCUGGUCUUGACAUCCCGGAGACCCUUAGGAAACUAGGGGGUGCUUCCAUCUGGAAGAAUCUGGGGACAGGUGCUGCAUGGCUGUCGUCAGCUCGUGUCGUGAGAUGUUGGGUUAAGUCCCGCAACGAGCGCAACCCUUGCCUUUAGUUGCCAGCAGUUCGGCUGGGCACUCUAAAGGGACUGCCGGUGUUAAACCGGAGGAAGGUGGGGAUGACGUCAAGUCCUCAUGGCCUUUAUGACCAGGGCUACACACGUGCUACAAUGGCCGAUACAAAGGGCAGCGACACUGCGAGGUGAAGCCAAUCCCGUAAAAUCGGUCUCAGUCCGGAUUGGAGUCUGCAACUCGACUCCAUGAAGUUGGAAUCGCUAGUAAUCGUGGAUCAGCAUGCCACGGUGAAUACGUUCCCGGGCCUU